CAGUGUUCUGUGCUGUUCAGUGCAGUCAGCCCUAGCUACAUGUGGCUGCUGAGCACUUGAAAUGUGGCUAGUGCCACUGAGGAGGCAUUGACUAGACAAUCAAGAACUAUCUGCGGGAUGAAUAAAAGGUCCUGGCCAGUAGUCUCCGCAUCCCACCCAUUAGAUAUCUGGACAGAAUCCCAGGGCAUGAAGGGGAACAAACAAACGGGCCAGCAAGUCUGAAUCACACUAGCCCUGUGGCAUCUCGGAUUUCCGUCUCCACCACGUGUCACCUUGCGAGCCUGAGCAUCCUGUAGUGCUCCAUCAAGUCCUGGCACAUUGGUCUGCCUGAACCUGACAUGUCAGCAAUAGCCUGGCCAGGGAGAGACGACCAGGUGGCACAGGAUCACCUGCCACGCACCUCGGUCAAACGCCUCCCUCCUGUAGAGCACCCCUUCUCUGCUCAGGGGUGCAGGGGAAGAAACCACAGCUUCCCAGUGACCCACAGCCCCUUCUCAAGGGGUGCAGGGCUCAGAGACUGCCCUGCGCACAGCCUCUCACCCCCGUCACCACGGGGGCUCUGUGAUUUGAGCUGCCUCUCACCCCAGAGGGCACAAGAACUCCUAUCUGACAAGAGCUAUUUCUGUACAGAUGGAAAUAAAAGGGCCUCUCCCC
rnacentral:lncRNA from 1 species